GUGGAACCACAGAGCGGCACAGUGCUCUCCUGCCCCGACCAACAAAGUCACUUUCAGAACCUCCAGUACCACAAGAUUCCUCACGCCAUCUUCCCUAAGGAUCUGAGCUGUAUGUCCACCAUGAUGACGUUUGAGUAUGUGAGUCAGCUGUGUCGGAACAAGGACCAGGUCUGUUGUCUGCCCUCCAGACUGAAAGACACCAAAGGGCUGACCUCUGAGGACAACAUCUCCAUAGUUCCUUUCCAGUUUGACCUCAUCCAGCUGCUCCCCAGAUGCCAGCAGGUGGAACUUUUCUUCCUGACGUUCAGCACAGGUACGUUGACCUCCUCCUGCUCCACAGCAGCAGUAACACAGACAGUCCCAGUUGGACCGUGGCUCCCCAUGUGUCUCUGCCAAGGUUGGGAUCAAUUGCAUUU
rnacentral:lncRNA from 1 species